AAUUGGUUGGAAUUUGGAGUAGUUCCCCUUAUGAGUCCAUGGUAGGAUGAAACUAGUA
rnacentral:hammerhead_ribozyme from 11 species